rnacentral:rRNA from 1 species
CACGUAGGAGGCAAACGUUAUCCGGAUUUACUGGGCGUAAAGCGCGUGUAGGUGGUACUGUAAGUAGGGCGUGAAAGCUCCUGGCUCAACUGGGAGAGGCCGUUCUAAACUACAGAACUAGAGGAUGGUAGAGGGAGGUGGAAUUCCAGGUGUAGCGGUGGAAUGCGCAGAUAUCUGGAGGAACACCGGUGGCGAAGGCGGCCUCCUGGACCAUUCCUGACACUCAGACGCGAAAGCUAGGGUAGCAAACGGGAUUAGAGACCCCGGUAGUCCUAGCCCUAAACGAUGUAGACUAGGCGUCGGAAGCUUAAUCGCUUUCGGUGUCCAAGCUAACGCGAUAAGUCUACCGCCUGGGGACUACGGCCGCAAGGUUAAA